GGAUAGCGUGUGUACUGUUUAUGGGCGGUCGUAUCGCUUACCAUCAGGCGAACGGCAAGCUCGUCUCGUCAUUCAACCCAAUAAUAAAUAAAUUAAAAAAACAAACACAUACGUAAUUAAUAAAAGUAUACUGAACUCUGAACGCAUUCUCUGUCGUAUCAAAUUUAAAGCCAACAGUAAAGGCCAAAUUCCCACAAGACGGACUAGCUUUUGUCGGCGGCUCCGCCCACGUCAAGAAGUUUACCCGGAAUGAAAGCAGCCUUUAGCACUCAAGAGUCGUUACUCCUGUAGCGUCCUAUUAGUGAAUUAAUUUUCAAAAUGAAACUAAUGGAUAAGCUCAUAAUGUAGUGUGUGUACUUAGUAUAUAAGUAAUGUAAUGUGUAGUAUUAAGUCAGUAUAAUGAGUGCAGUCAAAUAAAGGACCUGAAACUAUUAACACGUUA